AACGAACGCUGGCGGCAGGCCUAACACAUGCAAGUCGAGCGCGCCCUUCGGGGUGAGCGGCGGACGGGUGAGUAACGCGUGGGAACGUGCCCUUUUCUACGGAAUAGCCUCGGGAAACUGAGAGUAAUACCGUAUACGCCCUUUGGGGGAAAGAUUUAUCGGAAAAGGAUCGGCCCGCGUUGGAUUAGGUAGUUGGUGGGGUACUGGCCUACCAAGCCGACGAUCCAUAGCUGGUUUGAGAGGAUGAUCAGCCACACUGGGACUGAGACACGGCCCAGACUCCUACGGGAGGCAGCAGUGGGGAAUCUUAGACAAUGGGGGCAACCCUGAUCUAGCCAUGCCGCGUGAGUGAUGAAGGCCUUAGGGUUGUAAAGCUCUUUCAGCUGGGAAGAUAAUGACGGUACCAGCAGAAGAAGCCCCGGCUAACUCCGUG
rnacentral:rRNA from 1 species